CGAAAGCCUGACGGAGCAAUACCGCGUGAGGGAGGAAGGCUCUUGGGUCGUAAACCUCUUUUCUCAGGGAAGAAAAAAUGACGGUACCUGAGGAAUAAGCAUCGGCUAACUCCGUGCCAGCAGCCGCGGUAAUACGGAGGAUGCAAGCGUUAUCCGGAAUGAUUGGGCGUAAAGCGUCCGUAGGUGGUUAGGCAAGUCUGCUGUCAAAGCUCGGGGCUUAACUCCGAAUCGGCGGUGGAAACUGCCAGACUUGAGUGCGGUAGGGGUAGAGGGAAUUCCCGGUGUAGCGGUGAAAUGCGUAGAUAUCGGGAAGAACACCGGCGGCGAAGGCGCUCUACUGGGCCGUAACUGACACUGAGGGACGAAAGCU
rnacentral:rRNA from 1 species